rnacentral:rRNA from 1 species
GAUUAAGUUAUUAAGGGCGCACGGUGGAUGCCUUGGCACUAGAAGCCGAUGAAGGACGUUACUAACGACGAUAUGCUUUGGGGAGCUGUAAGUAAGCUUUGAUCCAGAGAUUUCCGAAUGGGGAAACCCAGCAUGAGUUAUGUCAUGUUAUCGAUAUGUGAAUACAUAGCAUAUCAGAAGGCACACCCGGAGAACUGAAACAUCUUAGUACCCGGAGGAAGAGAAAGAAAAUUCGAUUCCCUUAGUAGCGGCGAGCGAAACGGGAAGAGCCCAAACCAACAAGCUUGCUUGUUGGGGUUGUAGGACACUCUAUACGGAGUUACAAAGGACGACAUUAGACGAAUCAUCUGGAAAGAUGAAUCAA